UACGGAGGGUGCAAGCGUUAUCCGGAUUCACUGGGUUUAAAGGGUGCGUAGGUGGGCAGGUAAGUCAGUGGUGAAAUCUCCGGGGCUUAACCCGGAAACUGCCAUUGAUACUAUCUGUCUUGAAUACCGUGGAGGUGAGCGGAAUAUGUCAUGUAGCGGUGAAAUGCUUAGAUAUGACAUAGAACACCAAUUGCGAAGGCAGCUCACUACACGAAUAUUGACACUGAGGCACGAAAGCGUGGGGAUCAAACAGG
rnacentral:rRNA from 1 species